rnacentral:rRNA from 1 species
AGAUUGAAUGCUGGCGGCAUGCCUUACACAUGCAAGUCGAACGGCAGCACGGGAGCAAUCCUGGUGGCGAGUGGCGAACGGGUGAGUAAUAUAUCGGAACGUGCCCAGUCGUGGGGGAUAACGUAGAGAAAUUUACGCUAAUACCGCAUACGAUCCAAGGAUGAAAGCGGGGGACUCGCAAGAGCCUCGCGCGAUUGGAGCGGCCGAUAUCAGAUUAGCUAGUUGGUGGGGUAAAAGCCCACCAAGGCGACGAUCUGUAGCUGGUCUGAGAGGACGACAGCCACACUGGAACUGAGACACGGUCAGACUCCUACGGGAGCAGCAGUGGGAAUUUGGACAAU